rnacentral:rRNA from 1 species
UGGGGAAUAUUGGACAAUGGGCGAAAGCCUGAUCCAGCCAUGCCGCGUGUGUGAAGAAGGUCUUCGGAUUGUAAAGCACUUUAAGUUGGGAGGAAGGGCAUUAACCUAAUACGUUAGUGUUUUGACGUUACCGACAGAAUAAGCACCGGCUAACUCUGUGCCAGCAGCCGCGGUAAUACAGAGGGUGCAAGCGUUAAUCGGAAUUACUGGGCGUAAAGCGCGCGUAGGUGGUUUGUUAAGUGGGAUGGGAAAUCCCCGGGAUCAACCUGGGAACUGCAUUCAAAACUGACUGACUAGAGUAUGGUAGAGGGUGGUGGAAUUUCCUGUGUAGCGGUGAAAUGCGUAGAUAUAGGAAGGAACACCAGUGGCGAAGGCGACCACCUGGACUAAUACUGACACUGAGGUGCGAAAGCGUGGGGAGCAAACA